rnacentral:rRNA from 1 species
UACGUAGGGGGCUAGCGUUGUCCGGAUUCAUUGGGCGUAAAGAGCUCGUAGGCGGCUGUUCAAGUCGAACGUGAAAACUCGGAGCUCAACUCCGAGCCUGCGUUCGAGACUGGAUGGCUAGAGUCUGGUAGGGGGAUCUGGAAUUCCUGGUGUAGCGGUGGAAUGCGCAGAUAUCAGGAGGAACACCGGUGGCGAAGGCGGCCCUCUGGACGGUGACUGACGCUGAGACGCGAAAGCGUGGGGAGCAAACAGG